rnacentral:rRNA from 1 species
GUUGCCAUCAUUCAGUUGGGCACUCUAGAGGGACUGCCGGUGAUAAGCCGGAGGAAGGUGGGGAUGACGUCAAGUCCUCAUGGCCCUUACGGGUAGGGCUACACACGUGCUACAAUGGCGGUGACAGUGGGCAGCGACACAGCGAUGUGAUGCUAAUCCCAAAAAGCCGUCUCAGUUCAGAUUGCAGCCUGCAACUCGGCUGCAUGAAGUUGGAAUCGCUAGUAAUCGCUAAUCAGCAGGUAGCGGUGAAUACGUUCCCGGGCCUUGUACACACCGCCCGUCACACCAUGGGAGUUGGUCAUA